rnacentral:lncRNA from 1 species
AGCAGGGAAAGGCCACCGCACGUUGGCGAGGCCUGGCGGGGCCCAGAAGUGACGUGAAGGCUCCUGACCUGAGAGUGCCCAGCGGGUUGUGCGUCCUUCUUUCUGCCCGUCUCCACCCCCGGUUUUCACUCAAGCUCUGCUGGUGCUUCACCUGACAACUUCCAGACUCACAGGUGGGGAGGAGCCCAGGUCAGCACUGCCGAUUACCCUCACCCCCAAACACUCCACCGCUGUGGAAGAAGCAUCAGGGCUGGCAUUGCCUUCCCUGCCUUGGGGUGCGUCUGUUCAAACUCUUCCAGCCCCUCAAGCAGAAACCCUGUGGAUUGGGGCCAAACUCCUCUUGCAGUGACUCAAGGCGGCCAGCCCUGCUGAAAGGAUGGGAUGGGAGGUGAAAGGCCCUUAGCCUAUUGCUUUGAAAUGGUUUAUAUUACCCUGGUGCCUGCAUAUUUUUCCCUCCACUUGACUUCUCCUACCCUUUGCUGGUUUUCCUGCCUGGCACCCCCAGCAGUGAAACACAAGGUUGGACCAAGGCCUCCAGGUGUUGAACAGGCUAAUGGUGACAGGACUGGAAGUGGCUGUCCUGAAUCUCUUGGUAUCAGGACAUCUCUGCAAGGUCGCUGAGGUGGACAAACCCAAGGAAAUCAGCAGGUAUCAGCAGAGAGAGCCCUGCCAUCAGGAAAGCAGCACAAGACCAGGACCUACUGAUGGACCCUUUUCAGGACAACCCAACAGCCGUGGUGCUUUCCUAAGCUGCAGGAGACCUGG